CUCCUCUCCUAUGAAAAAAAAUCUAACCUCCUCGUACGGCAGUACCCAUCUCCCCCCAAUUUUUCCUAUUCGCCAUCUCCCCUCCUCCUCGAUUAUUGUCUCCCCUGAACUCCAUGAACGCGAUGCUGCCCGCCACCGCCGAUUUGUACUAGCUCCGGUGCUCUCCAGGACGUCGCUCACCAGACCGGCUGCCCCUCAAUCCUCUCCCCCGAUCCUCUGCAACCGCGACUUCCUCUGCGCCGCUGCACAUGCCCCUGUAGCAACCCUAGCCGCCAUGGGCCGCCGAUGCGACUCCCAGGUAGGCCAUCUACCUCGCGUCUCCCUAUGCACCGCUGGCAGCUCGGGCUCGACGGUGCUGAUCCGCCUCUGCUACCUCACCCCGCCGACAUCGACAUAGAUGGUUCAGUAAGCCACUUCUCUCCUCUGUUUGUGGUGACAUGGCCAUCGUCUGCUGGUCGACCUUUGACGGAAAUCGCGAUUGUGAUCUAUUCUACCUAGUGUUAGCCGCCCCAUCGUGCUAUUCUUAGGUAUUUUUGUUUCGUGCUUACAUCUUUCAAUGUGCAGUGCUAUCUAAUUCUGUAAAUGCAAGCCAGUUGUUUAUACUUUGGCUGAUCUAUUUGGAUGUAUGGUUGAGUGCAUAUGUGUAAUUCUGGAAGAAUGCUUGUGUCCUUCUUUUUAAUCUCAAUAGUCUGUUGUUGCUGCUAUGUGGGUGGCUGAAUCCUUACCGAUUUCCUAAUAUUCCUCUUUAUUGUGUACAUAAUCCUUAAUUUAAAUUCAUUUACAGGUUCUGAAACCGGCCUUGCUUCAGACAACAUGUGUGUAUUUGUUGGAUUGCAUUCGCAUCGUAGUAGUAGAUCGAUCUGUUGUGCGAUGAACAUCCAGUCAUCCACGCAGGGCCGUAGGAUGGUUAAUGGUGUGCCGGCAAGCACUACAAAAUUAGCCAGCGACGACGAGCAAUGUCGUAGCACUUCUCCUCGUGCUCACAUGUUGUGGAGACGCCGGCCUACUUGAGCUGCCCUCGAUCAGUGCCAACUCCGCGGGGGGAAACUAUGGUACUGACUUCUUUGGUUGUAAGGUUCUGUGUUCCCCUAGGAUCUAAGAUGGUGAAGUUACUGGAUGUAGGAACUACGCUAUACUAUGACUGUAACACGUUUUGUUGUUUCUUGACUUGUUUCCAUAAGAAUUUCAGUGCUUGAAUCA